rnacentral:lncRNA from 1 species
CGAUACUCAACAAGGAGUCAUUAUUAUAACUUUGCAACAAAUACAUAGGGUUACUUUCCGUCUUUUGUGAGCAUAUGCAAAUCUUCAAUCCUGUUUUUUAUACAUCAAUGAUAUGUUGUAUGAAGUGGAAAAGUUGCCAACUACACAGAAAAAAAAGGCGAUCAAAAAAAUAUACACACAUCACUAUUUAGUAAACAACCACUUCAGACUCGAAUCGGUCUGAAAAUUUAAUAUUUGAUACUCAUAGGCUAAAAGAUUGGGGAUAAGUGUCGUAUAAAUAUCACAGAUGUAAGGAUUUGCACUCCUUACACAUAAUUGAGUCAAAUUUGAGUAUCUUCAAACUACUAUUUUGAAUUUGACUACAACACCAAAGAUACAGAUACGGGCUUAUAUAUGUAUGAUUCCAUAAAAAUGUUUGUAAACAGCAAAAAGAUGGGAAUUCACACUUGCAACUUGCACUGGUGUCGAUUUUAUGUCUCAUUGAAUAUAAUUCUUCAGACUCGACUUAAGCUCCUACUCAAUGGUCCAAGAACUGUCUUGAACUCCUUUAAACGAACUUUGAGCCCCUAUAUGUGUAGAAUAUAAGUUAUGUAUGUGUAAUAUAGGUAAAUAAAAUAUUUUUUAUAACUCA